rnacentral:snRNA from 1 species
GUGCUCACUUUGGCAGCACUUAUACUAAAAUUGAAAUGAUAGAUUAGCAUGGGCCUUGCUCAAGGAUGACAUGCAAAUUCAUGAAGCAGUUCAUAUUUUC